AACUGUUACGGAACUCGUAGUAUUUUGAUUUUUACGUGGUGGUAUCUACCAUUUUUUACUGGCAACCAUGUC
rnacentral:rRNA from 1 species